rnacentral:tRNA from 1 species
CGCGUAGCUCAGUUGGCAGAGCAAGUGACUUUUAAUCACUAGGUCCCAGGUUCGAAUCCUGGCG